UUUCAAAAACUCAAUUUCUUUCUUACUUAAAACCUCAAAAACACAUGAAAACAUUUUAGAAAAACAUAUUUUACCCUUCUAGAGAGUUUCGACAUCUGAGAUUCCGCCAGAAAGCAGGAAUUUCAAUGCCAGAGUCUAGCCGGGUAUUAUACCUCUCCUCUCGAUCUUCAAGAGGAUCGGACCCGAGAAACCGAGGAGAUCAGCAGUGUUAGCUGUUUCAGAGUCAGUCAGAGGUUUGUAGGAGCACAGUUAGCUAUGAGAAAGUCAACAAGGUUAUGGUAUAGUCUAUGUAAUAGAUUAGUAGUGGACAUGAGAUGACAUAUAAUGUAAUGUAACGUAAUGUAAAGUAAUGUUUUGAGGAUAAUAUUGUGCU